rnacentral:rRNA from 1 species
CUCGAGCCGCAGGCGAGUGACAAAUUUAAUACGACAAAUGCAUUUGAUCAAAAGCUAGUAUAUAUGCUAAGCUUUUGUUAAAAUGCAUUUGUCACAAUAAAUUUGUCACAAAGAAUCAUCUACACGAGCAAAAUAUCUUUGACAUAUGAAAUUUGUCAAAUAAAAUUUGCUCGUGUAAACGGGGUUUAAAGCAUAUUACUGAGUGGAGGAAAAGAAACUAACAAAGAUUCCCCCAGUAAUGGCGAAUGAAGAGGGAACAGCUCAACUUGAAAAUCUCCGUUGUGUUGCAACGGCGAAUUGUAGUUUCGAGAAGUAAUUUCCCGGCGCAUCGAGUUUGGCUAAGUUGGUUGGAACAGCAUGUCAUAGAGUACGUGGCAAUGCCCGAGCCCUCGCGAUGUGCUUUCUAAGGGUCGGAUUGUUUGGGAAUGCAGCCCAAAACGGGUGGUAAACUCCAUCUAAAGCUAAAUACAAGCAUGAGACCGAUAGCGAACAAGUACGGUGAGGGAAAGAUGAAAAGGAGUUUGAAAAGAGGGUUAAUACGUACGUGAAA